rnacentral:piRNA from 1 species
CAGAUAUGCAUAGGCGGAUUGACACCUCU